GCAAGUCGAACGAUGAACCACUUCGGUGGGGAUUAGUGGCGAACGGGUGAGUAACACGUGGGCAAUCUGCCCUGCACUCUGGGACAAGCCCUGGAAACGGGGUCUAAUACCGGAUAACAGCCUCCAUCGCAUGGUGGGGGUUUGAAAGCUCCGGCGGUGCAGGAUGAGCCCGCGGCCUAUCAGCUUGUUGGUGAGGUAGUGGCUCACCAAGGCGACGACGGGUAGCCGGCCUGAGAGGGCGACCGGCCACACUGGGACUGAGACACGGCCCAGACUCCUACGGGAGGCAGCAGUGGGGAAUAUUGCACAAUGGGCGAAAGCCUGAUGCAGCGACGCCGCGUGAGGGAUGACGGCCUUCGGGUUGUAAACCUCUUUCAGCAGGGAAGAAGCGAAAGUGACGGUACCUGCAGAAGAAGCGCCGGCUAACUACGUGCCAGCAGCCGCGGUAAUACGUAGGGCGCAAGCGUUGUCCGGAAUUAUUGGGCGUAAAGAGCUCGUAGGCGGCUUGUCGCGUCGGUUGUGAAAGCCCGGGGCUUAACCCCGGGUCUGCAGUCGAUACGGGCAGGCUAGAGUUCGGUAGGGGAGAUCGGAAUUCCUGGUGUAGCGGUGAAAUGCGCAGAUAUCAGGAGGAACACCGGUGGCGAAGGCGGAUCUCUGGGCCGAUACUGACGCUGAGGAGCGAAAGCGUGGGGAGCGAACAGGAUUAGAUACCCUGGUAGUCCACGCCGUAAACGGUGGGCACUAGGUGUGGGCAACAUUCCACGUUGUCCGUGCCGCAGCUAAC
rnacentral:rRNA from 1 species